rnacentral:lncRNA from 1 species
UAAUUUCAAGGUUGAACUAUCGUAAAUUAAAGAAGAAAAAAGAAGGGACGAACAAAAAAAUUAAAGGACGUUCCAGCGUAAGGCUUGCAUAAGCGCCCAUGCCUCAUACCUGAGUGUGUCGCUGCCUUGACUGAUUUAACUCACAAGCUGCCCUUGAAAGUUGUCGCUCUUCCUCAUCAGGCCUAUCGUUUCUUAAGAUUCGGCCACUAAGUAAUGAUUGAAUAUUGAAACAAGAAUAGGACCUUAUAAUUAUAAGUUCAAGUAAACUACUCCAGAAGAUCAGAGACAAUUUCCGAAAUGAAUGAUAAAUCAAUACAUACAACUCUGUACGCAUCAGAAACUGUUUGAAGAGGAGUAAACGAUUCAGUAACUUGCAACAUUGCCAAAAGUUUGUUGAGGAAAAAAAAACAAAACAAAACAAAAAACUGUCAUUCUUUGUCAGUUAAUGAAAUGAUGGCAGUUUUUAAAGGAUACCUCCCGCAAAUCAAAUUCAAAAAAACAGGGGCCUUCUUUGCUAGCAAUUAGCUGGUGAACGCAUUCUGGAUAAGCUUCACCGAGAUGGCCAGCUUGCAAAAUUUCCGUAUGAAUUACAAGUUGGCAAAUGAGAGUGACAAAAAGGGACACACAAGAACAAGAUGUCAAGCAAGAUAGCGGACUGCAAAAGAAAAUACAUCUAUAAAAAAGAUUAAAUUUUGUGUUUCCAAUUAAAAAAAGUUGAAGAAAAAGCUGAAGGAUUUAAGGUUCCAAUAUGUUUUCUUUUAUUAUAGAACUCCAAUAUAUAGAUACAAAGCUUGGCUAUACAUAGAAUAUAAAAAAUUAUUGCUAUAAUUCCUAAUCUAUCAAAGGAAUUAGUAAUUAAGGGAUUGUGGUGCAUAAUAUCCUUCCCUAAUAUCCCAGAUUUUCUCCCUUAAUUGCUCAACUCACGCCAACACUCCUCCUCAAGUUGGUGCGUAUAUAUCAACGAGACCCAAUUUGUCUAGUGAGUUGGGGAAUGUCCUACUGCACACUGCCUUUGUAAGAAUAUCUGCCAGUUGGUCUUCAGAUUUCACAAAUGGGAACCUGAUAAUCUUCGCAUCAAGAUUUUGUUUGAUGAAACGCCGAUCUACUUCCACAUGUUUAGUCCGAUCAUGUUGAACAGGAUUAUGGGAGAUGUCAAUCGCUGCCUUAUUAUCACAAAACAGAUUCAUUUCGGAGUCAGGGGCAAAACCAAUCUCUGUCAAAAGCCUCCUAAGCCACAAUAAUUCACAUAGCCCUUUAGCUAUUCCACGAAACUUAGCUUCAACACUAGAUAGAGCAAUCGUCUUCUGUUUCUUACUUCUCCAAGUAACUAAGUUCCCUCCAACAAAGGUAAAGUAGCCUGAGGUGGAUUUCCUGUCCAUGAUGUUCCCAGCCCAAUCUGCAUCUGUAUAUCCUUCUACUCUUAGGUGAUUAUUCUUUGAGAAUAUAAGUCCCUUUCCAGGGGAAGAUUUCAAGUAUCUUAAAAUUUGUAUUACAGCACUCAUGUGAUCUUCGCUCGGACAAUGCAUAAACUGGCUUACAACACUUACUGCAUAAGCAAUGUCAGGGCGUGUAUGAGACAGAUAAAUAAGCUUGCCUACCAAUCUUUGGUAUCGUCCUUUGUCAGUAGGUACUUGAUUGCGAUACUCCCCAAGUUUGUGAUUCGGAAUUAUUGGAGUGUUUGUAGGCUUGCAGUUUAGCAAUCCAACCUCUGCCAAUAGGUCUAAAAUAUAUUUUCUCUAGGAUAGGAAUAUACCCUGUUUUGAUUUGGCAACUUCAAUUCCCAUAAAAUAUUUGAGUCCUCCUAGAUUUUUCAUUUCAAACUCAGAUGCCAACUGCUUUUGAAGCCUUGCUAUCUCAUCUGAAUCGUCUCCUGUGAUGAUCAUAUCAUCUACAUAGACUAUUAGGGCAAUCAAUUUGCUGUGUCUAUAUUUAAGGAACAAAGUAUGAUAAGAGUUACUUUGUUGGAACCCAUACUUCCUCAUUGCUGUACUGAACCUCCCAAACCAAGCUCGAGGCGAUUGUUUCAAGCCGUAUAGAGUUCUUUGCAACUUAAAAACAAUAUUGCCUUCUAUGUUAGCUCUAUACCCUGGGGGAAUGUUCAUAUAUAUCUCUUCUUCUAAAUCACCAUGCAAAAAUGCAUUCUUUACAUCGAACUAAUGUAAGGGCUAGUCAUGAUUUGUUGCAAGUGACAACAGUACUCUCACUGUAUUUAGCUUGGCUACUGGUGAGAAAGUCUCCUUAUAGUCAAUUCCAUAUGUCUGUGUGAAUCCCUUUGCCACAAGUCUAGCUUUGUAAUGGUCAACUAUUCCAUCUGCCUUAUAUUUGAUUGAAAACACCCACUUGCACCCCACCGUUUUAUGUCCUUUAGGUAGCGUGUCAGGACCUAAGUCUCAUUUUUUGCCAGUGCCUCCAUCUCCUCCUUCAUAGCUUGGACCCACCUUGGGUCUUUCAUUGCUUCUUCAACACUUGUAAGAACUGGAUGCGAGGAAACUUCGUCCGCAAAAGCCUUAAGGGUUUCGGGAAGUCCCUUUGUGGAUACAUAGUUGGCAAUUGGGUAUUUAACCCUUUGGUCUUCCAUGUCGGGAGUAUAUUUGUUCGAUGGCUUUCCUCGAUUGUGCUUGUAUGGUAACUCAUAACCAACUAAAGUAUCAUUAGCUAACAGAGGUGUACUUGGAGAGUUUGGAGAGCUUACCAUAGGAGUAUUCUCAGGAGAUGGGUCUGUGGAUACUAUGGAGUAAGAAGGGGGUACUACUGCUUCAGAGUUUUGCUUCUACUUACUAUUUUUUGAUUGUGGAAUACUAGAUUCUAUAUCAUCUGUAGGUUCUGAAACAACAAGCUCAUUGACAGGAGUUUUUGUAUUAAUUGCAACGGGUUCAUUAAAUCCAGGCGAUUCAUACUGCAGCCAAUUUGACUUUUCACCCCGAGACUUCCCCUGAAGAGUAUAAGUGGAUAGGGAAGAGUAAAAAUAUUCUGAUUCCAAGAAAGUGACAUCCAUUGUCACAUAGGUACGAUGGUUAGUCGAAUCAUAACAUCGAUAUCCUUUUUUAUUCAAGCCAUAUCCCAAAAACACACAUCAAACUGCAUAGGGAUCAAGUUUAGUGCGCUGAUUUUUGUGCAAAUGAACAAUGGCGACACAACCAAACACUUGAGGCGGAAGUAUCAGGGUUGUAGGUAGAGAAAUGACAGCAGAUAGAGCCUCGAGAGAAGUUCGAAACUUAAGAGUAUUAGAAGGCGUCCGAUUAAUAAGAUAUACCGCUGUAGUGACAGCAUCGGUCCAAAAGUGAUUAGGUACACAAGCACCAAGUGGGUUAGCGCGAGCAGUCUCUAAGAUAUGCCGAUUUUUUCUCUCGGCAAGACCAUUUUGCUACGGAGUCUGAGGACAUGUGGUUUCAUGAAUCAAGCCAUGGUGAUUGAAAUAAUUUUUGAAUUCAUGAUUCACAUAUUAUCCACCAUUAUCAGAUUGAAGUAUGCGAAUUGUAGUAGAGAACUGGGUUUUAAUCAUCUUAUGGAAUGAGCAAAAAAUAGAGAAAACUUCGUCUUUGUUUUUCAUCAAAUACAACCAUGUCAUACGAGUGCAAUCAUCCACAAAAAUCACAAACCAUCAAACACCAGAUAUAGUAGGUUUGGGAGAUGGACCCCACACAUCAGAAUGAAUCAAUUCAAAAGGUAUCUGACUCUUAUUCAAACUUAAAGGAUAAGUAGCACGGUGACUUUUAGCUAAGAUGCAUGUUUCACAUUUAAGAUCCAAAUCUGACAAAUUGGAAAAUAAAGUAGGAGAUACAUGUUUCAGAUAACCAAAUGAAGGAUGUCCUAACCGACGAUGCCAUAGCAAAAUAUUUGACUUAUUUUGAUCACCGGAGCCUCUAGUGUGAUUAGCUUGACCGAUGCCAAAAUCUUCUAUAAAGUAGAGCCACCUCCUUUUAGUACCACGCCCAAUUAUCUCCUUGGUGAGAAUAUCCUGAAGAAGGCAAAAAGUGGGAUAAAUCAGAACAACACAAUUUAACUCCUUCGUGAUUUGGCUUACUGACAAUAAUUUAUGAGAAAAUGAGGGCACAAAAAGAGUAUUAGUUAAGGAGAGGGUUGGUGAAAUCAUCACUGUACCAACCCCAUUUACCAAAGAUACGUCCCCAUUAGCAUUAACAAUACUAAUACGUUGAGGAGAGGAUCGUUCAGAAAAGUCACUUGCAUCAUACAUCAUGUGGUCAGUUGCUCCUGAAUCAAGGAUCAAACUAUCAUAAGAUUUAGAUGUAUUGGUCUCGAGAAAACUCAUACUUGUAUCCAAGUCAGUUGUUGCCGUAGGAACAAGUGACAAUUUAGACUGAGUAGAGGCUGUUGCUGCCUUGCCCAUGCUGUUUGCUGCACUUUUGCUUGUUCCACCAUCAUUCCUGCUACCAUCUCGUCGUCUCUUGCCUUGUAAUUCAUGCCACCAAUCCGGGUAGCCAUGCAAUUUGAAGCAUGUGUCUCGGUUAUGUUUCAAACUUCGACAAUGAGAACAUUUAGUUCCAUUAGAUGGGACUAUUGAUUUAGGGGCUGAAUUGAGUUUUCCGUUCAAUGACAAAGAGUUGGCUGGAGUGAAGAGCCCUUGUUUCAGGCUUCGUGAUGCCAACAGCGCCCCAGCCAUGUCUUCUCCAUCAUUGGUUGUCAUUACUAAUUGUCGAACAGCUUCUCUCCGAACAUGGGCAUACGCCUGCUCUAAUGUGGGAAAGGGCUGAAGUUGUAAAACAUCACUUCUAAUAUUAUCCAAUUUAUCAUCCAAACCCUCAAGAAAAGUAUAUACCCGAUCCUUCUGCAGCAUAUUGUUAUAGUGUUUAAUAUCUUCUGGACAUUUCAUUGGGUUGGGACGACGAAAAUCAAUCUCACGCCAUAAGCCUUGGCGAUCAUUGUAAUACUUUUCCAAUCUCCCGCUCCCUUGCCUAAGCCGUGCCACUCACCGUCGGAGUUCGUAAACCUGGGAUGCAUCACUUCCAUCAAAGUAAGUGGUUCCAAUUGCAUCCCAAACCUGCUUUGUUGUUAGAAAUCGGAUGAAGUUGCCAAUAAGGGAUGAGUCCAUUGAACCAAUCAGCCAUCCCUUUACAUUUGAAUUUUUAGUCUGCCACUUACGAAAUGAAGGGUCGAUUGUUGGUGGCUGAGGAAGGUCUCCAUUGAGGUAUCCAAGCUUAUCUUUGCCUGCUACGUACAUCUCUACGACCUGUGACCAGAGGGCGUAAUUCGUGUUGUCCAGCUUGAUACCGAUCGGUGCAGCCAUUAAGUCAGCGGCUGAAGUAGGUGCCGAAGCUUUGCUCAAAACUUCUGUUAUCUUUGCUGUCAAUUCAGAUAUCAUAGAAGAAGAGUUUAUAUGAUGAGAUUCCAGGGGGUUAGAUUCACCAGAGUUCUCAUCAAAGUGAGGAUCCAUGUCUGCCAUGGAAGGGGUUGGGUUCUAUUUUUCACGGAUUCGGGUAGGGGAUCAGAUCUGGCUCUGAUACCAUGAAGGAUUUAAUGUUCCAAUAUGUUUUCUUUUAUUAUAGAACUCCAAUAUAUAUAGAUACAAAUCUUGGCUAUACAUAGAAUAUAAAAAAUUAUUGCUAUAAUUUCUAAUCUAUCAAAGGAAUCAGUAAUUAAGGGAUUGUGGUGCAUAAUAUCCUUCCCUAAUAGCCCAGAUUUUCUCCCUUAAUUGCUCAACUCACGUCAACAAAAGCCAAUAUUCAAAGCUUGGCAAAAAAAAUAAAUAUAUAAAUAACAUAAAAUAAAAAAUGUGCUAUAAAUCAAGAAGCGUGGCUCAAUACAAAGAAUUUGCAUGUACAAGAUCCAUUUAAUGUAGAACUUCAUGAAAUUGCUUCAACAGCUAACCUGGAAGACAAGAAGCUUAUUAAGGUCCACGGUAAAGAGCCUUGUGCAACCAUCAUGGUUCCUCAAAAUGUAACUACUGCAGAGGAAAAGAGAAUUUAAAGACUUAGGCAGGUAAAAAUCAAAAUGUCAAGAAAAGGCUUGGUCAGAAAAAAGAAAAGGACAGACACAAAGUACAAGAAAAAUGCCAUAAAAAUUAGAUCCAUGAACUUCAUUAUUUUUUGUUUCUGAACUUGUUCCUCAUGAACGAAUAUGCUCGUCAAUUUUAUAUUCUCAGUCCUGCAAAUAGUAUAAAUUCAUUUUGUCUGGUAAAUUGUCUAAAUUGCAACCAUUUAUUCAAUACCAAUCCAGUUGUCUACAGCAAAAGAUUCCCAAUACAUAAUUGAAGAUAGCAGAUUCUGUGAAAAUGCACUUUAACUACAAGUGAUCAAGAAAUGAAUUUGCAUAUCGUAAGGGGGGAAAGGCCCACAGGAAGUUAAGUUUAACGCACACACAACAUAAGAAUCAUUUCAAUUUAUUUUGCAGUUCAUAAUCGAAGGGAACAAAAGGAUUAACAUCAUGAAUACCAACACCAGUUCUCCAAAAAUAUAUAUAUAUAUAUAUAUAGAUUUUACUAACCACUUGUGCAAACAAAUUUAUUUAUAUAUAUAUAUAUAUGCCACUUGUGAUUUCAUUGAGGGUUGGGUUGGUUGAUUUAUGAGUCCACUUUGUCAUUGUAAUUUGCUAAGGCACUUUCUAAAGUGUGGCUAAGUACUUAUUGAGCUAUCUGGUUAAUAUGUUCUACAUAUCAAAGGUACUCAGAUUUUAUAUAUAUAUAUAUAUAUAUAUAUAUAUAUAUAUAUAUAUAUAUAUAUAUAUAUAUAUAUAUAUAUAUAUAUAUAUAUAUAUAUAUAUAAAAUCUGAGUACCUUUGAUAUGUAGAACAUAUUAACCAGAUAGCUCAAUAAGUACUUAGCCACACUUUAGAAAGUGCCUUAGCAAAUUACAAUGACAAAGUGGACUCAUAAAUCAACCAACCCAACCCUCAAUGAAAUCACAAGUGGCAACUUUAUUCAAGAAAAUACACAUCAAGUAAUCUAUAACUCAAUAUAUUCACUAAAUCACAAAAAAACUAAGUCAUAAUUUUUCUUCAUCAAGAACCCAAUUUUUGUUCAAAAUUUGAAUAUUUCUUUAUCAGGAAUUAAGAACCCAUGAAAUUCCCAGCUUCUAAUCUAAUAUAUACAACAAUGUACUUUUGCAUUGCCCCCAUCAAAUGACAAAUCUAGAAAGCAAAAACCAACAAAAUUUCUGCAAAAAAAGAUAAAAAAUAAAAAUGCAUAGAUCUAGUACGUAAUAUGAAAUAUAAGAAAAUUCCCAACAAUAAAAUUAAAGAAAAUAAAAACACUAACCCUGUAUAAUGCAGGUCCAAUCUUUCAAUUUAAGCUAAGAGGUUCUCACUCUAAGUAACAACCGCUGCAAACAAAAUGCGCCACCACUACGUAGAGUUUAUGGUCAGCCGAAUUUUGGGUGGACUAACAAAGUGCAAUUGCCUUCUCUGAAUAAAGAGAACUACAAUCGCCUUCUCUGCAAUCACCUUCCUUGAUGGAGUUUUGCAAAAAAAUCUAGAAGAUUUUCUUCUCCAAUUGCCAUCAGUCUUUGUCUUUCCUUCGUAUGCCGUUUGUAUUUCUUUUUGUUUCGGAC